rnacentral:hammerhead_ribozyme from 1 species
AUCCAGCUGACGAGUCCCAAAUAGGACGAAUCACGCGUUAAACCGGAU